GAUGAACGCUGGCGGCGUGCCUAAUACAUGCAAGUCGAGCGAACGGACGAGAAGCUUGCUUCUCUGAUGUUAGCGGCGGACGGGUGAGUAACACGUGGAUAACCUACCUAUAAGACUGGGAUAACUUCGGGAAACCGGAGCUAAUACCGGAUAAUAUUUUGAACCGCAUGGUUCAAAAGUGAAAGACGGUCUUGCUGUCACUUAUAGAUGGAUCCGCGCUGCAUUAGCUAGUUGGUAAGGUAACGGCUUACCAAGGCAACGAUGCAUAGCCGACCUGAGAGGGUGAUCGGCCACAUUGGAACUGAGACACGGUCCAGACGCCUACGGGAGGCAGCAGUAGGGAAUCUUCCGCAAUGGGCGAAAGCCUGACGGAGCAACGCCGCGUGAGUGAUGAAGGUCUUCGGAUCGUAAAACUCUGUUAUUAGGGAAGAACAUAUGUGUAAGUAACUGUGCACAUCUUGACGGUACCUAAUCAGAAAGCCACGGCUAACUACGUG
rnacentral:rRNA from 1 species